GCUUCAGUGGCGCAGUCGGUUAGCGCAUGGUACUUAUAGGACAGUAAUCAUGUUACAUAAUCAAUUAAAUGUCUGAAAAGAUAUGCCGAGGUCGCGAGUUCGAGCCUCGCCUGGAGCA
rnacentral:tRNA from 1 species